rnacentral:lncRNA from 1 species
GAAGCCAGCAAGACAGUAUGGGUGCUUCUAAUUUGUGGUCUCCAGAGAGGAAAUUUUGUCUAAGAAUUUUUUUUUUGAGAGAUCAGUUGGACAAGAACAUCCCUUCAAGUUACUAGAAGAAGAAUGGACCUUUUUGAUGUCACUGUUAUUCCAGAAAGAAUCUCUGGCAUGUUCCCCUCCAGCUAAUGUCAGAAAGAAAAGGGGGCCCUUGCAAAAAUCACUCCAGCAAAAAAAAGUUAGAGACCAAGACAUGACUGCAAGCACAAAGGUGGACAUAUGCCCAAGACUUGCCAAUCAUUUUAUCCCCUGAACCUAGACAUUAUGGUCAUCUGGUCAUAAAAUGUGUUCAAAGAUAAAUGCCU